CGAGCCGACCGGGUGAUCGCGGCGUCGUGACGGCCCCGAGCCGCCACGACGUCGAGGAAAGUCCGGACUCCGCAGAGCGAGGUGGUGGGUAACACCCACCCGGGGCGACCCGCGGGACAGUGCCACAGAAAGCAGACCGCCUCUCCUCGUGAGAGGUCAGGGUGAAACGGUGGUGUAAGAGACCACCAGCACCCCAGGUGACUGGGGUGGCUCGGUAAACCCCACCUGGAGCAAGGCCAAGAAGACCGUGCACCCACGGUCGCGGGAGUGUUCGAGGGUUGCUCGCCCGAGCUCCCGGGUAGGCCGCACCAGGCCGCUGGCAACAGCGGUCGCAGAUGGAUGAUCACCGGCCCUCCGGGGUCACAGAAUCCGGCUUACAGGUCGGCUCGUCCC
rnacentral:RNase_P_RNA from 1 species